rnacentral:piRNA from 1 species
UGAGAAAGUGAAUCCUGGGGUAAUUG